rnacentral:rRNA from 1 species
AGGGGUAACCCACUGGUAUGACGGAGCGGCGAACGGGUGAGUAACACUUGAGUAACCUGCCCCACAGACCGGGAUAGCCCAGGGAAACCUGGAUUAAUACCGGAUAUCCUCGAAGGACCGCAUGGUCCGUUGAGGAAAUGCCUUUGUGCUGUGGGAUGGGCUCGAGGCUUAUCAGCUAGUUGGUGGGGUAACGGCCUACCGAGGCAUCGACGAGUAGCUGGUCUGAGAGGACGAUCAGCCACACUGGGACUGAGACACGGCCCAGACUCCUACGGGAGGCGGCAGCAGGGAAUCUUGCGCAAUGGGCGAAAGCCUGACGCAGCAACGCCGCGUGGGGGAUGAAGGCCUUCGGGUUGUAAACCCCUUUCAGGAGGGAAGAAAUUGACGGUACCUCCAAAAGAAGCACCGGCCAACUACGUGCCAGCAGCCGCGGUAAUACGUAGGGUGCGAGCGUUAUCCGGAAUCAUUGGGCGUAAAGAGCUCGUAGGCGGUUCAGCAAGUCGGCUGUGAAAUUCCGAGGCUCAACCUCGGAACUGCAGUCGAUACUGCUGUGAACUCGAGUCCGGUAGAGGAGAAUGGAAUUCCCGGUGUAGCGGUGAAAUGCGCAGAUAUCGGGAGGAACACCAGUAGCGAAGGCGGU